CGCCUCUGGGAUUCCAGGCUCUGGGAAGAGGCUCUCGUGAGGAGCAGUGUUCUGGGGCAGAGAAUUGCUGGCCGCUGGCUCUGGCUCCUUGGCCUCUGGUCUGCAGGGAAAAGGAGCGCCAUGGUGCAUUCCUGGACGCGUGGUCUCCUCUGUCCUUCUGACAAAAGCCCGUCCACCUCGGCGUCGGCGUCCACCCUGUCCUUUGUGUGGUGACGACAGAAGCAGAGGAAGAAAAGCUCUUGCCACGGGAGCUGCCUAUUCACACCAGGGCUGGGAUUCGAACCUCUAGUGCUCUGCCCCCAAGCCUGAUUCAUCUAGGAAUACCCUGGAGGCUACCCUACCUGGCUUCAUAACUCCCAGCUUCCUUUGUGCUCGUGGGACAGUUAGGCGAGGAAGAUGGUCAGGAGUUGCAGGUGUGAACCCUCAUCUCUCAGAGCCCCCCAUGGGCACCUGGCAUUGUGCUCCCAUUUGCACAGCUCCGCUUUCCACGGAGACAAAGCAAGGGGUACAGUGUCUUCCCUCCCCUCUCAAAGUGCAUCUCACCGUGCCCACGCCUUGAGGGCUAAGGCUCUGAGACCAUCACCGAGUGUCCAUGUUCUCUGCCCCUGUGCUCCUCCUGGGGCUACACAGAGACACCCCACUGCUCCCCUUUCCAGAGGCCUGGAUCCAGCUUGCCCCAGCUGGGGACCCCGAGCAAGCUCCUUUCCCUCUCUCUCCUUGGCACUGCCGUCUGUGGAAGGGGCAGAACAAGGCCUGUGAUCAAAGACGACGUCUGGGAAAGCAGGCUCGCCCACGCUGAGGCUGUGUCAUGACUACUGCGCAGGCUCCUGGUCCUUGCCCCAUUGUUCUAUGGAUGUAACUGUCUUAUCCCAGCAAGCACAAUUAAGCACCAGCUCAGUAACCAGUGACAGGGCAUGGCCAUUGGCUUUGAACUUAGGUAUUUGCACCCUCAGCCUGCAGGGGGGACACAAUGGUUUAUACAGUUUUAUAGGCAGAGUAACCUCCAUUAAUUUAUAGAGACUUUGACAACAUCUUGUGGGGACACUAUCCAGAGUGAGGAUGCCAGCCAGAGAGGUGGUGGACGGGACCUGAGGAUUCACACCAGGCCAUUUCCAGUCUAGCCCACAGGGGUGAGCCAGGCUGUCAGGUGCCUGGACCAGCAAGAAUGAGGGUCUUUGGCAGGGGGCAGUGAGGAUGGGCAGCUCCUCUGUGUCUGGACUCCACUUCGGUGGGCAGCUGGAGUCCCUGGCAGCCUUGUGUUGACUCAGCCGCCUGUCUCCUGCCAAGGCCUGCUGGCCAGAGCUCCCGAGGGAGGGUCAGGCCACAUUCUUCUCCUGCCUGAGCUGGUGUGUGUGGGGGUGGCAGUGGCUGGCAGCUCCUGGCGCUAGAGGGGAACUCAUUGGGUUUGUGGGCGCUGGGAUGGAGGCUGUGGGGAGUCAGGAAAUGUUUUUUGGGGGGAGGGGUGAAGGCUGGGUCCACAAGGGACUGCCACAGAGGGAGGGGAUCAGCCUGGGGACUGAGAUGCUUGGUUGUGUGGCUUUGCGGAUGAGCUAGUUGAGCUGAGUAAGCUGACAUCACCAUCCUGCCCCUCCUGUCCCUCCUGCCUCAGUUUCCCCAUCUCUCAAAUGGGUUUAUGAUAAUAAGCCCCACCUGCCUUACCUCACAGCUGUUGGGAGGAUCAAAGGCAGAAAUAAGUUGGGGUAGGGUGAAUGUGCUGUGUAGGUCAGGGGCCCCCACAUGCUGGUUGGCUCCUGAGCCCAGCUGUCUCUACUGGAGUAAGUGGAGGGAAAGGGACUUGGCACUAGGCUGUGGUAUGAAUCUACCUGCCGUCCCUGCCUCCUCUCAACGACACAUAGUGCUAAUAAUAGUAGCAAGCACACUUCUUUCCAGGAGUACAGCCCUUGAGAGGCCAAAGCCUUUCCAUGCCCUCCUGCCCCAGGGCCUUUGCAUUGCUGUUCCUUCUGCCUAGAACAUUCCUCCUCCACAGAUAACUGAAAGGCUGCUCCCUCAAAGGUUGAAGCUCAUGUCAUUUACCUGAGGCCUAUGGCUUGUUCCUGGCUGUGUCUGAUGAGGGACCACAGCCUCCCAUGGUAGUAUUAGUGUCUCAUGUUACAGGGGGAACAGCUUAAGGCUCAGAGAGCCUAAGUGACUUGCCCAAGGCCACACAGCUGGGAAGGGAUGGAGCCAGGACUGAAUCUGGUUGCCCAGGUUCCAGUCCUGGGCUUUUUCUAGGACCACCCCCCAACACAAUGCCUUUCCUCUGCAGGCGCCACCUCCCUGGAAGGGAGUGCAUCUUGCCCUUCUCCAUCACCCUGGUGGGGUCUGGUCUGUGCCCCCUUCAGCCCACAGUGUGUGCUGUGCACAUACUGGCUUGGUUGUUGACAGGGAAUGAAGAUUGACUUCAUAGAAGACCGUGCGCUGGAUCUCAUGCAGCCCAGCUGCUACCCCUCAGGGCCUCUGUCCCUCCACGGAGGCCCAAGGGCUGCUGCCUAGCCAGGGCCAGGGCCAGGGCAUUCCAGGGGCCUCUUGCCCUGCCCAGCAGCCCAGCUGGCCUCGCAGCAGUCCCAGAAUUUUCUCGGCAGCUGCGGGGUGGCCGGAUGCCCCCCUCCCCCUGUGCCUCUGGGCCCAGAGCCCGGCCGCAGGCUGAGGCUCGGUUGGCACUGCUCCUCAGCUCUGCUCGGGGCAGGAACACCGCAGGGAUUUUAAAAAUAAAGGGCCUUGAGACAGUGGCCUGGCCCAGGCAGCCAGGGGCAGGGUGGGGGCCAGACAGGGACAAGGAGGGGAAAGUUGGGGGCCAAGCCCGGACGGCCACAUCCUCCCUCCCAGCAGCCCUGCGGCCCUCAGAGGGUGUCCUCCUCCCCACCCACCCACUCUACCCUCAGGCCAAAGACAGUUAACUAAAACACCUACUAGGAGCCGGGCUGCGGGCCUCUGCUCCUCAGAGUGCUCUUUUCUGCCCCCUUCCCCCAAGCCCAGGCCAUUCCAGUCUCUCAUUCCCUCCUCCAACCCCGCUAACAGGAAACACAUCCAGAAAGGUCAAGAGUCCUGGGCCUCCAGAGUCCAGCGUCUGCACAACACAGGGGCUGUCUGCACGGGAGGGGGGGGGCUUCCUGUUUAUGAGAAUCACAAGGACCCCGGGCGGUGCCUCAGACCGGCCUGGGGGAGCUCCUGAAGCCCAGCUCCCGGAGAGGCCUCCACGUGCCCAGCCACGCCUUACCACAUGGGGUGGGGGGUGGGGGGCUCGGAGACGCCGGAAGGCCAGGCCUGUGGGAGCAGAGUGCCUGAGUGUCUGCAGAAAGGAUCCAGGCUCCAGGGGCCCGGCUGGCGCUCCGCCUCCGUGCAAGGGAGGGGCUGAGCCCAGAUCCUCUCCCCAGCUGUGGCCAGGCGGCCUGUGUCUCUCCAUCCUGUCUCCUUGGCUUCCCCCUGGGACCAGCAGGGGACCUCGGGCCAAGUGGUGCUUCCCCCCUGGAAGAAUCCCUGUUCGUGCCCCAGGUCCCAGCAGUGACAGAAGAGGGGUGCAGCUGACCAAAGGUGUCCCCGGAGAAGCAAACAACCCUGCGCAUCCCUCCAGGCGCACAGCCAAUCUGUCCUGUGGUUGCCCAACUGGGAUUGACUGUGGGCCUCAUGGUCACAGCCCUCGGGAGAAAGUGGGGUGGAGGCACACUGGCCCAGUCCCCAUUCAUUUCGCCCCACUGGGAUGAAGGUAGGUGACACCUGUCCUCUGUCUCCCUCCCCAUCAGGAGCCCUCCUAGUUCCGAGUACCUGGAGACAGACCCUGAAGGUGGGUUCGAGGAGGUGGGUGCUGGAGCCAGCUGUGAGGAAGCUACCUUCUCUUCAGGGAACCCUGAAAUCGGGAGAGUGUGCCUGGCCCAGGAAUCAGCCCGGCCAAAGCAUGACAUUCCCAGAGAAAUGCAGGGUUGGAGAAAUGGGGUUGGAGAAAGGCAGAUGAGGGGACAGGGAGGUUUGUGGGGCUGGAGGGAGAGACCUGGGAUCGAGGUUAUUUGUCUGGGCUGGGUGUCCUGUGGCUCUGGAGGGCCCUCUUUGGCCCCUGCCAGGGGCUGGUGGAGAGGCUGAGGUGUUCCUGACCCGGGGGAUCUACUCAGGGACAUCCCUGGGUGCUGGGCCAGGUGCUGGGGCUGCUGGCAAAGCCGUGCUGUGGCACUGAAGGGUCCUUGGCUCUGUUGAGUUCCAGCGGCGUGACCUUGGGUGCGUUAUUAACCUGCAUGGCCUCAGUUUCCUCCUUUGCAGAUGGAGCUAAAAGUCAUUGCCUAGGAGUCCGUUGGUGGAUGAAAUUAAUUAAUUAACAAUUUCGCUAAGCACCUGGGCCUCCUGCAUAUCCUGUUCGUUUGCAAGCGUUAUUCUUAGCCAAGGAAAAGAGAAAGCUGGGUCUCCUCCAAGGACACUUUGACAGGCCCUCCCAAGGGAAGCUGCCUGACUCCCAGCCCAGCUGGACCUGCUCUGUGCCCGGGAGCCACCCUCCCUGCCUGCCCUCUCCCGCUCUGUCAUGCUCCUGGGAUCAUCUGUGCGGCACCUGUGGUUUGGAUUUGUUACUGACCUGCAUGAGCGUGUAAUCCUUCUCUGUGUGGAUUCGCCCGAUUUUAUUUCAUCCUUUCUGCUCUCAGUGGAAUACUGGAGUCUCCAGGCUUCGCUGAGGACAUAGUGUUGCUGUGAACAAUGCCGUGAGGCUUUGGGGCCCACACGUGCCCCUUCUGUGGGCACAGGCCUCCCAGGGGCAUGGCCGGCAAAGUCUGCACGUGUUCUGAUUCAGCAGAGGGGUGAAGAGUUUUCCCAAGGGACUGUAGUGGUUCAUGUGCCCACUGGUUAUGGGUCCUGCAUCCCUGUGGACCACGGGCAUUUUCUGCUCUUUUCUUUUUUUGUGGGGUGGGGUGGGAGGAGGUUUGAGACAAUCUUGCUACAUAACCCAGGUUGGCCUUGAACUCGAAGAAAUCCUCCUGAGUCCUGGGAUUACAGAUGUGUGCCACUUGCCCUUUCCCUUCCUACCUGCUCUGUGCGUACAGAGUGCUACCAGCCAAUCUGCACUGCCUCGGGGACUAAAGAAGCCAAGUGCUUUUCAUGAGGUUUUUGCCAUCCUACUUUGAUCUGUUCAGCUCUUUUGCCUCCCUCCCCCCCCCCUCCCUUAUAUUUUUUUUUUUUUUUUUUUGCCUUUUUCAGAUUGAUUUGUGAGAGUUCUUUCACUAUUUGGAGCAGGUCUCUGCAGUGUGUGUUGUUACUAUUGCCUCCCACCUGUGGCUUUCCUUUUCGUUCCCCGUGCUAAAUGUUUUAGGUUGGUCUAGUUUAUCUUUUUUUUUUUUUGGUACUGGGGAUCAAUCUCGGGACCUUGCACUUGUGAGGCAGACAGCAGAACCACUAUGCUAAAUCCCCAGCCCUUGUUUACCUUUUUUUGUUAUUGUUGCAAUAUUGGGGAUCAAACCCAGGGAGCAUUGAACUAUAUUUGCAGCUCCCUUUUUUCAAAACAAUUAAAAAAUUUUUUUUUUUUUUGGUACUGGGGAUUGAACUCGAGUCCUUGUGCUUGUGCAGCAGGUGGUGAAACCACUGAGCUAAAUCUCUGGCCCCAAUUUUUAAAAUUUUGACAGUGUCUUGUUUAAUUGCUCAGGCUGGCCUUAAACUUGUGAUCCUCCUGCCUCAGCCUCCUGGGUAGCUGGCAUUAUUGGCAUGCAGCACUCAGCCUGACUGAUCUUUUUUUAUUUUUAAAAUUUUUUAUGGUUAGUACUUAUGUUUUUAGUUUAAAAAAACUUUAGCUAUUCCUAGGUCAUGAAGAUGUUGUCUUGUUCUUUCUUCUUUACAAUUUUCGUCUUCGACAAUGUGGUCUGGAAUUUCUCUUUUUUUUUUUUUUUUCUUUCGGUCUGGAAUUUCUUUCUGAUCCUGAUGUGAGGUCAGGGUUGUGAUAGACUGGGACACAGGCUCCAAAGAGAGGCAGGCGCUCAUGCCUAGAACCUGUGACUGUUACCUUACAUGGCAAAGUCUUUGCAGAUGCGAUUAAGUGAGGGAACCUGAGAUGGUGAGAUGAUCCUGGACUACCCAGACAGACCCUGAAUUCAGUCCCAUGUGUAGGAGGAAGUCGGGGAGGUUUCAUACACUCACUCACUUGCACACACACUGCCAUGUGGAGCUGGAGCAGAAAUCGAGCUUAAACUUCAGAUCAAUGUGGCAACAAACCAGGCAAAGCCAAAGCCUUCCAAAGCUGGAGGAGAGGAGCAAUGGGUUCUUCCUAGCUCUGGAGGGAAUUUGGCACUUCCGGUGCCUUCGUUUUGGGCUGGGAAUACUCACUUUUGACUUUUGUCCCUCAGAACUGGGAGGGAGUAGAGCUCUAUUGUUUUAAGUCACCAAACUGCUGGUAAUUUUUUACAAAAUCCUCAGGAAGCUAAAACCAGGGUCAGGUUACAGUUUUUUUCCUUGGACAUUCUCUUCAGCUGACCCAGCACCAACCCUGAAGGGCCACCCAGCCCCCACUGGCCUGUGCUGUCACUUUUGUCCCGAGUCAGGUGUGUGGGUGGCUGGGGU
ensembl:lncRNA